rnacentral:piRNA from 1 species
UAGAAUUGUUUGCAGAUAUUGUUCCCAAAA